UAGUUAUCUACUUACAGAACUUCUGGUUUUCCUGUGGAGCUCCUAGUCAGUGUUGGUGGCAAAACCAAAAAGACCAAACAGAAUAUAUCACAAUUGCAAAUGACCAGGAGGAGUCCAUUUAGAAAACAGCGCAACUGAACUAUUUGCUGAAACGGCAGCGUUUCUAAUGAGCCCAGGCAGGUGGGUGCAUUUUCAAGAUGGCAGGAUAGAUCUACAUACUUCUGACAGCCUUAAUUCCUGAAUAGUUCACAUCUUCCAGAAAUGCCAGGAGCAAUCGAAGUGAAGCAACAGCUGAAGCUCGAAAAAGGGCUCUGCUUUGAGAACUGGAACCAGGAGGGACGUCCGUUGUGGCAGCGCUUGUAAAGUUAAUGACAGUUACCCCAUUCAGAGGCAAGAAUGAUGCAUUUUACUUUGACAUGUACCUUCUCGAUCUGUUUUCUUCCUCCUUUCUUUAUUUCUUAGGCCUGAUCCUUAAAAACACUGUAAAGGGCAUUGGCUCAAUGCCAUCAGGACUGCUGCACCAUUGCAGGAAAGACUUUUGGCAUAAACUGUAAUUGGUAUUUUGAAUCUAGCACUGAAGGGUGAUUCAUAAUUUUAAUAAACAAAAGCA